GGUAUAGCUCAGUGGUAGAGUGUGUGCUUAGCAUGCACGAGGUCCUGGGUUCAAACCCCAGUAGUACCU
rnacentral:tRNA from 1 species